CCCUUAGAUGUCCGGGGCCGCACGCGCGCUACACUGAAGGAAUCAGCGUGGCUUUCUCCCUGACCCGAAAGGGUUGGGAAACCCGUUGAAUCUCCUUCGUGAUAGGGAUUGGGGCUUGAAAUUGUUCCCCAUGAACGAGGAAUUCCCAGUAAGCGCGAGUCAUAAGCUCGCGUUGAUUACGUCCCUGCCCUUUGUACACACCGCCCGUCGCUACUACCGAUUGAACGGUUUAGUGAGGGCCUCGGAUUGGUCUCGGCCCGCUCUUUACCGGGCGGCGCCGUUGGUCGAGAAGACGCUCGAUCUUGAUCGUAUAGAGGAAGUAAAAGUCGUAACA
rnacentral:rRNA from 1 species